rnacentral:tRNA from 1 species
GGUCUGUAGCUCAGAUGGUUAGAGCGCACCCCUGAUAAGGGUGAGGUCGGAAGUUCAACUCUUCCCAGACCCACCACUUUC